CCUAAAUUGCCUCGUCCACUUAACAAAUUCAUUUUUAAAAAUAUUAUUUUGUGCUCUCCAUAUGCUCCAAAGUGUUUUGUUGUUUUGCAAUUUGCUAAAUACCAACAAAAUCGAUUCCGAGUCAUUCCGAAAUCCGAACUAAUUAACUAUUAACGAUUCAAUUAGUCCGGCCCGUUUUUACUUAUCGGGCCAAACUAAUUAUCCAUGUACUAACGCUUUUGGGCCCAUGUACUUGUUUCCUCGGGUCGGGCCAUUUCUAACCGGAUCACGUAUAAAACGAGAAUUAUGGGGAUUUGGAAACGAAAACCGAAACCAAUAUUUGUAUCUACUUAAAAAGAAAAUGGAACGUAAAAAAUACAUAUAACUCGUACAAUAAUUCUUGUUAGUAAAAUUAUUGUUAUGAUUAUUGAACAAUGUAGGUAAAUAAGAGUUUGAUCAAUCAAAUAAUUAACAAUAUGAAUCCAAAUAUUGUAUUAAUUGAUUUCCUUUAGUGGCGAAUGUCAUGUUGCACCACCCUCCACCUCCGGCGGCGGUGCGAGUGGUGGCUCAGCCGUCCAUCGGACUCCCCCAUUGUAGUUUCUCGCACGCUGGAUUGUCGGCUCUUGCCUUGGAAUAACAACAUCGGGCAUCAUUACACCGUAACUUAUGAUUUUGUUUCCGUCGACGGGUGUCGAAAGAAAUGCAAUUGCCACCACCACCACCGCGGCGGCACAAACCACCACCACCGUCUUUGCCAUAUAUAUGUUUGAACCUUCAAAUGUUUUUCU
rnacentral:lncRNA from 1 species